GAUGAACGCUGGCGGCGUGCCUAAUACAUGCAAGUCGAGCUAACAGACGAGGAGCUUGCUCCUCUGACGUUAGCGGCGGACGGGUGAGUAACACGUGGAUAACCUACCUAUAAGACUGGGAUAACUUCGGGAAACCGGAGCUAAUACCGGAUAAUAUAUUGAACCGCAUGGUUCAAUAGUGAAAGACGGUUUUGCUGUCACUUAUAGAUGGAUCCGCGCCGCAUUAGCUAGUUGGUAAGGUAACGGCUUACCAAGGCGACGAUGCGUAGCCGACCUGAGAGGGUGAUCGGCCACACUGGAACUGAGACACGGUCCAGACUCCUACGGGAGGCAGCAGUAGGGAAUCUUCCGCAAUGGGCGAAAGCUUGACGGAGCAACGCCGCGUGAGUGAUGAAGGUCUUCGGAUCGUAAAACUCUGUUAUUAGGGAAGAACAAAUGUGUAAGUAACUAUGCACGUCUUGACGGUACCUAAUCAGAAAGCCACGGCUAACUACGUG
rnacentral:rRNA from 1 species